UAGGGAAUCUUCCGCAAUGGGCGAAAGCCUGACGGAGCAACGCCGCGUGAGUGAUGAAGGUCUUCGGAUCGUAACUCUGUUAUUAGGGAAGAACAAAUGUGUAAGUAACUAUGCACGUCUUGACGGUACCUAAUCAGAAAGCCACGGCUAACUACGUGCCAGCAGCCGCGGUAAUACGUAGGUGGCAAGCGUUAUCCGGAAUUAUUGGGCGUAAAGCGCGCGUAGGCGGUUUUUUAAGUCUGAUGUGAAAGCCCACGGCUCAACCGUGGAGGGUCAUUGGAAACUGGAAAACUUGAGUGCAGAAGAGGAAAGUGGAAUUCCAUGUGUAGCGGUGAAAUGCGCAGAGAUAUGGAGGAACACCAGUGGCGAAGGCGACUUUCUGGUCUGUAACUGACGCUGAUGUGCGAAAGCGUGGGGAUCAAACAGG
rnacentral:rRNA from 1 species